AUUGAACGCUGGCGGCAUGCCUUACACAUGCAAGUCGAACGGCAGCGCGGGGCAACCUGGCGGCGAGUGGCGAACGGGUGAGUAAUACAUCGGAACGUGCCCAAUCGUGGGGAUAACGUAGCGAAGCUACGCUAAUACCGCAUACGAUCUACGGAUGAAAGCGGGGGAUCGCAAGACCUCGCGCGAAUGGAGCGGCCGAUGGCAGAUUAGGUAGUUGGUGGGGGUAAAAGGCUCACCAAGCCGACGAUCUGUAGCUGGUCUGAGAGGACGACCAGCCACACUGGGACUGAGACACGGCCCAGACUCCUACGGAGGCAGCAGUGGGGAAUUUUGGACAAUGGGCGCAAGCCUGAUCCAGCCAUUCCGCGUGCAGGAAGAAGGCCUUCGGUUGU
rnacentral:rRNA from 1 species